GCCUGAGUGGCGCAGCUGGUUACACAUGUGACUCUUGAUCUCGGUUCAGGUCAUGAUCUCACAGUGUGUGGGUUCAAGUCCCACAUCAGGCU
rnacentral:tRNA from 1 species